CAACAGCUUCCGGAUUUUGCCGCUACGGGAUCCCAGAGGGAACUGCAAAAGAACAUGAGCAUAAUCUGUUACUUUUUUUCCAUGUUUUCUUUGCCUGACCUCAAGGACAGAAAUAUUAGAUUUCCAAGUCAAGCAGGGAGAUUCAUUUUUUCUUCUUACCUUGUGAAGUGAAAAGUUUGUUGCUCCUACUUCAACUGUGAGAUCACUGGAAACAUCAGAAAUUGGCCUGUAAGAAGAAACACUGUUAGUAGGCAUUCUUGACAAACAAAAAGAUACUUCUCCAAUUUCAUGAAGAACUGUUUAGCCUACAUCUUUAUCAA